UGUGCAAAUCCUCUCUCCCUCUUUGAGAAGGAACUCCAGUUAUAGGGAAGAUUUUUCACCUCUUCAAGAAUCAAGACUUCAACUUUACAAAUACCAGUUACACCACCUCUCGAUUCUUUUUGCAGAAGCAGCAAACCAGAAGAAGAAGAAAUUUCAGUUGUAAUUUUGAUUAGUUGCUGAAGUUUGGAGUUACUGAAACUCUGUUAUUGGACUAAAGACAGAACAUCUAGUUGCUCUUUUAGUAUUUGGUCUUAAAUCUCUAUUGUUGUGUAUGUGUCUGUAAAAAUGACAGUAAAUCAGGUUCUUUGAAUUUGGCACUUACUUGUGAUAUCCUACCUAGACUAUUGUUGUUUGUGUGACAGUAAAACAAGUUCUUCGUCUGUAAAACUGACAGUAAAACAGGUUCUUUGUUAACAGGAAAAAGUUGUUUGGAAAACUGAUAGAAAGUACCGACCGGUACCGGAACCGAGAUACAAGGUACAGGUACCAGUCCAAAAUUUUGGAACCGAGACUAGGGAGGUACAGGUACUCGGCUUCGACAAGAACCGAGCCGAACCGUACCCUGUGCACCCUUAGUUGUACUUGUAUUUUUCUAUGAAUAUAUGUCCAACUUAAAUCUCAAUUAUCUUUUUUUUAGUUCAAAAUUAUUCUGUUUGGUACACCCA